CAGAGGAUGAGACGGUUGGAUGGCAUCGCUGACUCAAUGGACGUGAGUUGUAAAGCUCUCUAGGCAGACAUGCCAGAUGUACGUCAUGUUCAGAAGAACAUUCCACAUCAGUUCGUAAGACGUUCACUCACUCCAUCUUUUCACGCUCAUAGGUCUUUUACAGAUGCUCUGGAAGAUCCCUAAGUCAUCUGCGGCACAGGGAUCAGCAUAGUGUCAGUGUGGCCGUCUUGUUGUGCAGACUCAGAGGAUGUCCCAGGUCCUGGCAUGAAGGACGCCUUCAGUCAGUGUUGGCGGCUGUGUCCAGGGAGAGGGGUUCUGAUGGUGAUGAAACCAGAGAAAGGGUAAAGGAACUAAAGGGUGUUGUGUUCAGCUGUAUUCAGCGGAUGCCAGCUGUAUUCAAGUGCCUCGGGCUGUAACGAGGCUCGAUUGUGGGGCUGGCUCUAAAGGUUCCAUGGAGGAGGAGGCAGGAGGCCAGCUUCAUCUCAUCAUGGGGAAUGAACUUCCCAGCCCUGGAAAGGAAUGAGCUCCCCACUCCUGGAAGCAGGCGAGCUGGACAUCAGCUUCUUGGUGAUGCGAGCAUUGGACGAGGGUUUUUUCCCAAUGAGUCGGCUCUUCGAAUCAGGUGGCCAAAGUAUAUUGGAGCUUCAGCUUCAGCAUCAGUCCUUCCAAUGAAUAUUCAGGACUGAUUUCCUUUAGGACUGACUGGUUUGAUCUCCCUGAGUCCAAAGAACUCUCAAGAGUCUUCUCCAGCACCACAGUUCUUGUCUGCUCCUGGGAACCCGCGAGGCGGAAACGGAGUUUUUGCAGCUGGUUUCCAAGGUUGAUGAACAGCAGAAGACUUGGCGGUUAAGACAACAGGUCCAGAUUUCCGGUCCUCCAGGAGUCUUUCCAGAGAAACAGCACUCGCUAGAAGUGCCACCUGGGGGUCUUCCCGGUCAUGGCAGGUCCCGAACCAGCCCACGUCAGUCCUGCUAGUGCGCGACCUGGGGCAGGACCCCUGCCCCCUGCUCCGCACCCAGGAGUCCUUGGCUGGGAGCAUCACCCCUCACAGACCUGUCUUCAGAUUUAAUCGAGAUCGAAGAAACAGACUCUGGAAGAAACCAGGAAGGGGUGAAGCAAUCAGAAAGAAAGAAGAAGCCAGGCCAGCAGCAGUUUUUGCGAUAGCCAGCCUCAGCCUGACCCCGCCGGGGCUCCAGAGGGACACACAGAGACCUGUGGCACGGCUCUUAGAUUCUGAGGAGCCCAGGAGUGGAGCUUGUUAUCUCAAACUUCUCAGAGUCCAUCGGGUCUGCUGCAGCCCAUCAUUGCCGACUGGCCUGCUUGCCUGCGUCACAGCCGCAGGGCUCUGUCUUUGGAGCAGAAUUCCCCAGGAGAUGUCUGCAGCAAGGCCAGGGGCUGCCCUGGCGAGGGAGAGGGUGGGGGAACAGGAAGCCUCAGCUGUGUGUCUGGUCUGGUACUAAUUAGCUGUGUGACCUUGGGCUAGUCACUUAACCUCUCUGGUCUGUUUACUUUUCUGUAAAUGGGGUGCCAGAUUGACUCAUCUUGAAGUUCCUUUGAGCACAAAAGUCCAUAGGGAGGGGAAGGCUCCAAGCCCAGUGCCUGGGAUAGGGCAGGCCUUGGAGGCACUUCAUAAAUGCCUGGAUUGUGUGAGACUCGGGGCGGACAUGGGUGGAUCUGCAGUCAGUGUUUAUUUCCAGCUUUGGAGUGGAACUGAGGCUGGCUCUUGGUCCUGCCACUAAUGGUGACCUCUAGUGGCUUGUUUCUCUGAGCCUCAGUUUACCCAUCUGUAGGACGGGUGUAUACCUCUGCAUGGGUGUUGCGAGUUCCCAAAGUGAUAACAAUUUAGUGUGUGUGUGUGUGUGUGUGUGAGAGAGAAAGAGAGAGAGAGAGAGAGAGAGAGAACAUGCGGAUAUGUGAGUUUUGAGUGUGUGUAAGUAUGCAUGUGAUGGGGGACAGUGGAGAAAAAAAUCUAAAACAUAAUCUUUUAAAAUUGGGGUGAAUUCACAUGUAUUUGAAAUGAAAUAUAAAUAUAAGUUUCACAUUUAUAGUGAAAUUCGCACAAUUAUUUUCAAGUGUGUAGUUCAGUGAUUAAUCUUUCAAAAGAACUUAGAAAUUAGGGAAAGAGUGAGAACCCACUGUCAGGACCUGUGCCAAAUGCUUUGCCCGCAUGUUGUCAUUCGAUCCUCACAACUCCAUGAGGGAGGAAGGGACUUGGCAGAGAAGGAAAUGAGAGCUCAGAGAGGUUGAGCAACUUUCCCAAGAGCACCCAGCCAGGAAGUACAGGGCAGGGUUCAACCCUAGGGGUCCCUGGUCCAGGCGCAGGAGGUGAUGAAGGGCCCACAGCCCCCUGGCCGUCCUUCUGACCUGACUCAGAAGCCCUGGGAAGGGCCGCAGGCAGGCUCGGGUGGGGGCCGGGAUGAUGGGCAGGGCGGCAGGGGCCCAGUUAAGUCACUUGACCUCAUCAUCCCUUCAUUUCCUGCUCUGCCUAAGAGGAAAUGUUUACACAGCGUCCCCACACAGACGCUGCACAGGCCUGGACUUGCAGUAAUUAGCUGAACAAUGAGGGUCCAGCGGCUAUUGAGUGGCCCAGGCACUGGCCUGGGGUCAGGCAGCCAGGGGCCUGGCUCCUCACUGAGAAACUCUCCUCGUGACCCUGGCCUGUCCCCACGCCACCCUGGGCCUACUUCUCCGCAUGGGAAAGGCAGCGGCAGGCGGGCCGGCCCCUAGGACCCCUGGAAGGCCCCACCAGUGGGUGAAGCACCUGGUAUAGUGAGGUAUAGGGGUAUAGGGAGGGAAGGAGGCAGGGGGCUGACGGGGCCCAUGUCAGGCUCUCUUCCAGAUCUGUGGCCCAGAAUGUUUGAUUUGAGGGUCCUCGAGGCAGCUCAGCAAGGCGUGGCAUCCCUCUGCGGUAUCCUUGCUUGGAGGACCCCAUGGACAGAGGAGCCUGGCGGGGUUGCGAAGAGUCAGACACGACUGCAGUGACUUAGCAGGCACACACAAGACAGUUCAGUGUCCAGCCUCCAUUUAUGAAAUAGCUUUUCCAAGUGGUUUGUUUGCUCACUCAUUAGUUAAUACACUAGUUAAUUAAUCAAGCAAAUACUUAUUAUGCAUCCAUGGCUAGUCAUCCUCUUCCAAAAACUGCCCCCCUUUCCCUAGAGCUCCUUAGGCGGCAUGCCUGGCCAGGGACUACAUUUCCCAGACUUCUCCGCACCACAGGGGUCAUGUGACUAGCUCUCACCAAUAAGAGCGAGCAGUGAAGAUGCUUCCCACUGAAGCGCUGGGAAGUGGGCCGUCCCACCGAGGGGGUGAGGGGCCUGUAUCUACUCAUGGGCUCUCACGUGCUGUUGGCUGCGGGCUGCUCUGAGGGGUGUUAACGCCUCCAGUUCACCUUGUUCUCAGGCUGCGGUCACAAGCCGAGGCCAGGAGUCUGCAAUCUGUGUCGCAGGGCAGCUCUGAUGGCUCUAGGAGGAGGCCCUCCUGGCCUGGCUUGCAGCUUUGCAAGGCUGCCGGCUCUCCCAGGUGUCACUUGACUGUGGCUGCAUUGCCCCGACCUCUGCCUCCAUCCUCACGUGGCUUCUCCACCCCCCCAUCCCAGGCCACUACCGUGGUGUCUUCAUGUGGCCUUCCCAUCAGGAUAGCAGUCGAUGCAUUUAGUGCCCAGUCUCACCUAGCAUAACUUCUUUGUAACUGACCACCUCAGCAGAGACCCGAUUUCCAAACGGACAAGCACGAUGGGAGGUGGCACCACGCAGAGUGGAGACCUUGGCGCCGGCAGUUGGAUGUUUUGAGCCCUGAAAUGGACGGUGCCAGCCGGCAUUCACUUAGACUGGGAACCAGAGCACGGGCUUUCAGCUGGGGGCUCCGUGGUCAGAGGGCCUGGCCCUGGCUUCGGGAUCUCCUGGGGCCAGGAUCUCAUUUCCUUCAAAAAGCCCUUGCUUUGGAGCAAACAGCAUCUCCUGUGAACGACUACGCUCUCUGCUCCCUCUGCCUGAUGCGCUUCCGAUGUGUCUCUGCCUGAGACACAUUGUUCACUGAGCUCCUCAAAGAAGACACACGGUGCGUCUACAGCUCCACCCACUCUGUGUGCCCUGGGGGCUUUAGCAUCUCAUGGGCCAGAUGGCAAGUCCAGGCUCCACUACUUGCUGGCUGUGUGUCCUUGGGCGACUUACAUAACCUAUCUGGGCCUUGGCUUCUGCUGUGGGUGUACUGUGAAGACUGAAUGAAAUCAUAUGUGAUAAUAUAUGUA
ensembl:lncRNA